AUGAAGUAUUACUGGGAAAAUCGGCCCUCACACUUUUCUCAUUCUCUGGAGAAUUUCUUCGCAUUUCAUCCAUUUCUAAGGUCAGCUCAAUACUCUUCUGUUAGCUUACUCCCCCCUGACCACAAGAGACAGAGAUCUGAAAAGGAUCUUAGAGAUGAUCUGAUCCAAAACUUUGAUUCUGCAGAAAUGGAAACUGCGCCUCACAGAGGAAUUAUAGAAUCACAAAUGGACAUAGAUCUGGAAAGAUUGCCUGGCUUCUCUCCCUGUAGAACAGAACUAUGAAUCUCUUUUCUGGAAGCGUGUUCCAACACCAAGUGAGAAGAAGCAGAAGAAAGUCAGGAGGGCCCCAGUGAGCCAGGAGACCGAGGAUACUCUGGUAGAGAAAUGAUGUUGCACAAAGAACCCUGGAGUCAAUAGAUGUGAGUUAAGAGGAAACCUGGUCUGAACAGUGGCUAAAGUGCUGGAACUGCAGUCUAGAAGAGCAGAGUUCAAAUAUUGUCUCUGAGGAUCACUCGUCGUGUGACCAAUGUUGAUCCUCACAACCACCCUGGGAGAGCAGUGCAAUUAUUUCCCCCAUUUUACAGAUGAGGAAACUACAGAGAUUAAGUGACUUGCCAGAUUCAUACAGGUAAUUAUGUGAGGCCAGAAUUUGAACUCAGUUUUCCUGACUCCGUGCCCAGC
rnacentral:lncRNA from 1 species